GCUCGGGUGGUGGAAUGGUAGACACACACGUUUGAGGUGCGUGUGCCUUACGGCGUAUGGGUUCAAGUCCCAUUCCGAGCACCA
rnacentral:tRNA from 1 species